rnacentral:rRNA from 1 species
UGGAGAGUUUGAUCCUGGCUCAGAUUGAUACGCUGGCGGCAUGCCUUACACAUGCAAGUCGAACGGUAACAGGUCUUCGGACGCUGACGAGUGGCGAACGGGUGAGUAAUACAUCGGAACGUGCCCAGUCGUGGGGGAUAACUACCUCGAAAGAGUAGCUAAUACCGCAAUACGAAUCUGAGAGAUGAUAAGGCGGGGGACCUUUCGGGCCUUCGCGCCGAUUGGAGCGGCCGAUGGCAGGAUUAGGUAGUUGGGUGGGAUAAAAGCUUUACCAAGCCGACGAUCUUGUAGGCUGGUCUUGAGAGGACGACCAGGCCACACUGGGACUUGAGACACGGCCCAUGACUUCCUUACGGGAGGGCAUGCAGGUGGGGAAUUUUUGGACAAAUGGGCGAAAGCCUGAUCCAGCAAUGCCGCGUGCAGGAUGAAGGCCUUCGGGUUGUAAACUGCUUUUGUACGGAACGAAAAAGCUUCUCCUAAUACGAGAGGCCCAUGACGGUACCGUAAGAAUAAGCACCGGCUAACUACGUGC